GUGUUCUGGAAAGGAUGCUGAUGCUCCGAAUUUAUUACUAUGUCACAGAGCUGGAAGGGGAUGAGAACUAGGAAUGUCAGAAUGCCUUAGAAGAAGGAAGGUCAGAGAUUGGGGACGGGGCUUAUAAUAGGGAAUGUCAGAGCUGGGGACGACCUAGAACAGGGAAUGUCAGAACUGGGAGGAGACUUGGUACAUUGAACACAAAAGGACUCAUCUUCAUAAUCUCACUUGCCAUCGGAGUUGGAGCACUGAAAAGGACCUCAGAAAACAUCUAAAACAACCACCUCAUUUUUCAAAAGAGGAAACUGAGGCAAAGGGCUUUAAGUGAUUUGUCCAGUGCAUCCCAGGCAAUGACCAAGAGGGAUAUUUAUCAAAGGUGCAAAAUUAAAAUAUACCUGGAAGACAUUAAUUCAAAAACAAAUGUGACUUUCCACCAAAAUGCCUGGGGAACUUGCUCUGAACAUAGAGAUGAGUACUGGAGUUGUGAGCUCAUUGCAAUCAAGUCCUUUUACAUACAAUCUUCCUCUACUGAUUCAGGCUGUGGCUCUAGUUCUCAAAUUCCAUGCUGGUGAUUUGGACUUCCCAAAGCCCCCUGGUUGCCAUGCAGAUGAUCAGAGGAUCUUUGAUCUGAAACUGGAAAGAACCCUGAAAAUGAAGGUCCGGAGAGUAAGUGGAUUGCCCAGGCAGAAUUUAGCAGAACUGGGCUUUGAACCCAAGUCACAGGACUAAGUCAGGCUCCAAAUGAAAUCAGGACAAGAACAAAUGAGUUCUUCACCUAACAGAAAAUGCCAAGUGAGUCAUUUUGCAGUGCCGGUCUCUAUCUCGCCUUUAGCAGGAACCAGAUUCAGCAACCCCAAUUCAUAACUGUUCAUUUGUCUGUGUCUACCAGGGCCCCAAAUGUAGGCUCUUUAAGUUGAGAAAUAGCUCGUCAUCCAAUUUGGUGUGGAAAAAUGAGGCUAUGAAAAUGACUAAUGCAAAAUGAAGCUCGCAACCACCACAUCGAGCUACACUGGAGCCAGAGAGUUUAAGCAGUGGGUCGUGGAGCCGGCAUGCCAUCCUGGAGACAAUGAGGGGCCACUCUAAGCUCUUGCGUGGCAAGAGUCUGAUGUAUAGAGGAAACAGAUAAUUUUGCAAGCUGCACGUAGGCUGGAUCUGAAGGGAGAGAGUGGCUGGC
rnacentral:lncRNA from 1 species